rnacentral:rRNA from 1 species
GAUGAACGCUAGCGGCAGGCCUAACACAUGCAAGUCGAGGGAGAGGUUAUCUUCGGGUAACCAAAACCGGCGCACGGGUGCGUAACGCGUAUACAAUCUGCCUUUCACAUAGGGAUAGCCCGAAGAAAUUUGGAUUAAUACCUAAUGGUAUAUAAGAGCGGCAUCGUUUUUAUAUUAAAGCUACGGUGGUGAAAGAUGAGUAUGCGUUCUAUUAGCUAGUUGAAGAGGUAACGGCUCCCCAAGGCGACGAUAGAUAGGGGUUCUGAGAGGGAUGUCCCCCACACUGGUACUGAGAUACGGACCAGACUCCUACGGGAGGCAGCAGUGAGGAAUACUGGACAAUGGUCGGAAGACUGAUCCAGCCAUGCCGCGUGCAGGAUGAAGGUCCUAUGGAUUGUAAAUUGCUUUUGUAAGGGAAGAAUAAGGAGUACGUGUACUUUGAUGACGGUACCUUACGAAUAAGCAUCGGCUAACUCCGUGCCAGCAGCCGCGGUAAUACGGAGGAUGCGAGCGUUAUCCGGAAUCAUUGGGUUUAAAGGGUCCGUAGGCGGGCUGAUAAGUCAGAGGUGAAAGCGCUUAGCUCAACUAAGCAACUGCCUUUGAAACUGUCAGUCUUGAAUGAUUGUGAAGUAGUUGGAAUGUGUAGUGUAGCGGUGAAAUGCUUAGAUAUUACACAGAACACCGAUAGCGAAGGCAUAUUACUAACAAUUUAUUGACGCUGAUGGACAAAAGCGUGGGGGAGCGAACAGG